CCUACGGGAGGCAGCAGUGGGGAAUAUUGCGCAAUGGGCGAAAGCCUGACGCAGCGACGCCGCGUGAGGGAUGAAGGUCUUCGGAUCGUAAACCUCUGUCAGCAGGGAAGAAAGGUCACUGUGCUAAUCAGCAGUGAAUUGACGGUACCUGCAAAGGAAGCACCGGCUAACUCCGUGCCAGCAGCCGCGGUAAUACGGAGGGUGCGAGCGUUGAUCGGAAUUACUGGGCGUAAAGCGCUCGUAGGCGGUAUGUCAAGUCAAGGGUGAAAUCCCCGCGCUUAACGUGGGAACUGCCUUUGAAACUGGCAAACUUGAGUGUGUGAGAGGAGAGUGGAAUUCCAGGUGUAGGAGUGAAAUCCGUAGAUAUCUGGAGGAACAUCAGUGGCGAAGGCGACUAUCUGGCACAUAACUGACGCUGAGGAGCGAAAGCGUGGGUAGCAAACAGGAUUAGAUACCCGAGUAGUC
rnacentral:rRNA from 1 species